GCAUCGAAAAUGUGACUGCAUCUAUGUGGUCGGGCACGCAUGCAGUUUUGUAGCAAGCUGAUGCAUGUGGUUCGAAUCUGAAAUAAUGGUAUUCUGCAAUUUGCAGUGCUAGAAUAGCGUUUGAUGGUACCAUCAGCACAGGAUUUGGCAUGUGUGUGAGGGCAUCAAAUAAAAAACUCUGGAUUUGAUCUGCUGCUAGCAGUACCACAACAAGUUGGCACAGGCUAUGAAUCUCUCAACAGUUGGUUGAGUAGAUUUUCAGAUUACAAGUUGGAGCACUAGCUAGUUUCCAAAUUGAAAACGCAGGCUAGCACAUCAAAAAAUCCGGACAUCAGGUGGAAAUAAGUAAAUUUAAUCAUUUUGUAUUUCGGUCUGUAAAAUAAAGUAGUUUAAACAAGAGUAUUUAGUUAGUUAGUUUGAAGUUGGAAAGAUUAUCGAAAUGUAAAGAGAUUAUCAGAGCCAUGUGAGAAAUGUGAUGAACAAAGAAAACUACAUGUCAGCUGAAUCAUUUGAAAAAUGAAAUGAGCA
rnacentral:lncRNA from 1 species